rnacentral:rRNA from 1 species
GACUACGAGCGUGUGCUUAAAACUCAAAGAACUUGGCGGCUCGUUAACUACCUAGGGGAAUAUGCGCCUUAAUCCGAUGAUCCGCGUGGAAUCUUACUGUACCUUGAAAAAGAACAGCUGGUGUAUUGCCGUCGUCAGCUUGUUGUUCGAGCAAAGAGAAACAAGCUCAAUGGAACUGGUGACUUGUUGGUUGGCAGGGUCCGUAAAGUCAGGUCGAAAUACUGCCUAUGGUACAAGGGAGUGGGUAUUACAAUUCAAAUUUCGAAAUACGGAGCUUGGAAGAAAUGUGAAAUCUCCAGGUGAAGGUGGACUUAGGAGUAAGGGAAGAUUAAUAUGCUCCCCUGAACAUGAAACUAGCUUGUGUACCAACCGCCCGUCGCUCUCGCCGGAAGGUGAGAUAAGUCGUAACAGG